UAUAAGAUGCCUGAAUAUAAAGGAUAAUUUUGAUAGAAUUAAUCAUGUGAGAAAUCACUCUUAUAA
rnacentral:tRNA from 2 species